UAUCUCUUCGUAUGCGAAAUCUCUCCAAGUACGUCAAAUCUCUCCCAAAUCUCUCUGAGAACGAGGAAUCUCUCUCAAAUCUCUCUCGAAAUCUCUCCCAACUUUCUAUAAUCACUCGGGGCAUCCCGACCCUCGAAUUUGGCGAAAAUAGCCCAAGAACGGAAGUCUACGCGAAAAACGGACUUAAGGAAACGAACCCUCUGAACCGAAAGUACUAUUCAUGAACCGAACCGAAAGCACUAUUCAUGAGGGUCCGAACCGAAAGUACUGUUCAUGUGCUGGACCGAAGUUACUGUUCAUCCGAACCGAAUCCGACCAUGAAGGAGAUCCGAACCGAAGGCUGCUAAGAAGAAAGGUCCGAACCGAACCUCGGGUAGAAGGGAGAUCCGAACCGAAGGUACUGUUCACUACUGUUCACUACAGUUCCUUCGGUUCUAGCCACCCUUCGGACCAAACUCUACCUUCGCGUCGGAUAGCCUGCCUCGGACCGAACCCGCUUUCGCUUCACGCCUUCACUUCGGACCGAGCCUCGGACCAGCUUCGCUUCGUUUCUUCCCUCCAGCUCGCGCCUUCGCUUCCGAGACCAACCACCUGCGUCCGAACCCAAGCGCCGCCUGACCAGACUUCGGCCUAGGGACAGCUCGCGCCUUCGCUUCCGAGACCAACCACCUGCGUCCGAACCCAAGCGCCGCCUGACCAGACUUCGGCCUAGGGACCGAGCCUCGGCCUAGGUCCGAAGAAACUUGCUGGAAAUUACAUUUUUCGCCCGUUUUUGCAUAUUUUUGCGUUUUAAACCCAUUUUUAAUUAUUUUAACAUGGGAUUUUCACCCAAAACUUUAUUUUUAAUUAUAAGACCCCUAAAUUAAUGAUUUAAUCACAUUUUAAGGGUAAAAUCUUAUUUAAAAAGGAGUUGGUAAAGUACAAAAAGAAGAAGUGUUGACCUUACCUUAGUUAUGACGCAAGCAACCCCCUCACCCACUCCAUGACAACCCACACUCCUCCCCACCAUACCUUGUACUUUUUACCUCCCUCACAAGCCACCUCCAUGCUUUGAGGGCUGGAUAAUCAUCCUCUCUCCUCAUUUUUCUUUCAUUUGUUCUCAUUUCACAAGAAGAUCAAACUCCUUUCUCUCUCACUUUCUCUCUCUAGAAAUCCAAGAUUCAAGGGCUGAUCUUGAGAGUUUCCUCCACCUUUGGUAAGCAUAAUCCAUUUCCUUUAUGAUUACCUCUAUUAUUUCCACUCAAAUCAUGGAUAUCUUACACAAACUCCAUUAUAUUUGUGUUAGAGCUUCGAAUCUUCAAACGGUUCUUCUAGUGUUCUUGGGUUGAACACUUCUCUUCUUCAUCACUUAUCUACUGAAAUCACACAAGGUGAGUUCAUACCCCUACAUUUUCACGUUUUCUCAAGUUUUUAGGGGGGGAAUACAAGUUAAAAUGCUUAGAACAUAACUACAUUCUUCUAACAGCUUUCAUCAGAAAAGUUUCACUCCAUUCACGGACUGUUUUGGACAUCUUAAAUAUUUUUGUUUUCAAAACUGUUUUAGGUGCAUGUAGUUCCACUUCUUAGCUUUAAAAUGACUACUUGCACAUCUCCAUACGAUUUUUCUACAAUUUAUGGUGAUUUUUACAAAACCGCCUAUCAUUUCAAACAUCAAUCCGGACCAGUCUGUGAUUAUGGACUUUUUCACCCAAGUUAGAGAUCAUUAAAAAUUAUAAUAAAAAUUAUGAACAAACUAGACUCAUUUUCCAAACUCUCAGAAGUUACAGAACCUGAUUUGGACAUUUUAUGAUUUUUCUACAAUUUUUCCAAUAUCAGUUACAGAAAAGGUUAUUAACAGAAAAACACAAUAAAUUUCAUUUCACCUUGUAACAUGUCGAGCAAGGUAUACAUCGUUAGUUGAUUAUGUGUAGUUGCAAUAUAUGACAAAUUUUGUAUUCCUACAUAGACAUACAUCAGAAAACACAUGGAUUUACAUCUUC
rnacentral:lncRNA from 1 species